rnacentral:rRNA from 1 species
UACGUAGGGUGCAAGCGUUGUCCGGAAUUAUUGGGCGUAAAGAGCUUGUAGGCGGUUUGUCGCGUCUGCUGUGAAAUUUCGGGGCUCAACCCCGAACUUGCAGUGGGUACGGGCAGACUAGAGUGUGGUAGGGGAGACUGGAAUUCCUGGUGUAGCGGUGAAAUGCGCAGAUAUCAGGAGGAACACCGAUGGCGAAGGCAGGUCUCUGGGCCAUAACUGACGCUGAGAAGCGAAAGCAUGGGGAGCGGACAGG